AUCUCAGCUCACUGCAACCUCCGCCUCCCAGGUUCAAGAGAAUCACUUGAACCUAGGAGGCGGAGGUUGCAGUGAGCUGAGAUCAUGCCACUGCACGCAAGCCUGGGCAACAGAGCAAGACUCUGUCUCAAAAGAAAGAAAAAGAAAAGAAAAAAAAGAAAGGCAAGUUGACUGCUGAAAGGGGAAUCUGUGUACGCCUGGGAGCUGUGGGGCAGCCACAUUCCAGCACAUGGAUCUGAGAAACAGAACGCUGAUCUGCAGAAAGAGAUGAGAACCAAAGAGAGGCCACCUGCGUCCUGGGUCCAUUUUCAUCCUCCCUGAAGCCCAGCUGCCCAGGGUGGGGAGAAACACCCUGUGUCCAUGGGAUAGAGUCCUUUCCGCUUGCAGUUGUGCCCAAAGAAUCUUAAAUACAAAUGAGAUAUCCUUAGGUAGUUGAUCAUUUAUGUAAUAUGUGUCUUCACUGGGGAAUACUGACUUCCUAAAAUCUCAAGAUGGAAGAUAUACCACAUGUAAAUUAUUU
rnacentral:lncRNA from 10 species